AUGGAGCCUGAUCUAACUUUGGAUGAAGUAGCAGAACAGAACAGAUCAGCACCUGACGAAGAGGAUGAAGAUGCUUUCGUCGUCGAGGAGAUUGGGGAUUCUUCAGAUGACCGACAGGCAGAGCCGACCGUGGCGUUGGAACCCAAGAAGGGGAUGAUGUUCAGCAGCGAGGAUGAUGCUGUCAGGUUCUACAAAGCUUAUGCCAGAAAAAAGGGCUUUGGUGUCAUAAGAAGGACGACCAGACACGGAGAAGACAAAAUGCUUACUUAUUUCACGCUUGCUUGUAACAGACAAGGGAAGGCUCAGUACUCAGCAAAGAACUCAUUCAAGCCUAAUCCGUCGACAAGGAUGCAAUGCCCAGCUAAAAGUAAUUUCUCUCGUCGUGGGGAAAACUUUUGUAUCACGACUGUUACGCUUGACCACAAUCAUCCUAUAAGUCCAAGCAAAGCCAGAUUUCUGAGAUGUCAUAAGAAAGUGGACUUGCAUUCCAAGAGAAGGCUAGAAUUGAAUGAUCAAGCAGGAGCACGUAUGAACAAGAAUUUUGGUUCUCCUGUUAUGGAAGCUGGCUGGUAUGGAAAUCUUGAGUUUGGUGAAAAGGAAUGCACUAACUAUUUGCAAGAGAAAAGAAGCCUGAAACUUGGUGCUGGAGAUGCACAUGCCCUUUAUCAGUAUUUUCUCCAUAUGCAGUCAAAAGAUCCAGCUUUUUUCCAUGUUAUGGAUGUGGCCGAGGAUGGACGACUGAGAAAUGUCUUUUGGGCAGAUGCAAGAAGUAGGGCUGCAUACGAGUCUUAUUGGGAUGUCAUCACAUUUGAUACUACAUACCUAACAAACAAGUAUACAAUACCGCUCGCUACUUUUGUUGGCAUAAAUCAUCAUGGAGAAUCUGUUCUAUUAGGUUGUGGUCUUCUGUCCAAUGAAGACACCGAGACUUUUGUUUGGCUGUUUAAAUCUUGGCUAUGCUGUAUGUCAUGCAAACCACCAAAUGCUAUAAUCACCGACCAAUGCAAACCAAUGCAGAAUGCUAUUGAAGAAGUUUUCCCUCAAGCUCGUCAUAGAUGGUGUGCAUGUCAUAUCAUGAAGAAGAUUCCUGAAAACCUUAAUGGGUAUGAAAACAUUAAAUCUACAUUGUCAAAUGUGGUGUAUGAUUCCUUGACCAAACAUGGUUUUGACAAAGCUUGGGUGGAGAUGAUCAAUAAAUAUGAUCUUCAGGAGAAUGAAUGGCUUGCUGGAUUAUAUGAUAAUAAAAAUCGAUGGGUACCAGCAUAUGUAAAAGAUACUUUCUGGGCAGGAAUGUCUUCAACAAAAAGGAGUGAGAGUGUAAAUGCUUUCUUUGAUGGCUAUGUCAAUGCUAGAACAACUCUGAAGCAAUUUGUGGAGCAGUAUGAAAAUUUACUAAGAGACAAGGUAGAGAAAGAAAACAAGGCUGAUUCUAAGUCAUUCCAACAGCAAAUUCCAUGCAUUACUCACUAUGACUUUGAGAGACAAUUUCAAGCAGCAUAUACUACUGCAAAGUUUAAAGAGUUUCAAGAUCAAUUAAGAGGUAAAAUCUAUUGCUAUCCAACUCAGCUGAACAAAGAAGGAUCAAUUUUUACAUUUGGAGUCAGAGAGGACAGCAAGAUUUUUUGUGAAGGGGAGGAUGGCAAAGGAAAAGAGAAAAGGGUUAUUUUAGAGUUCAUUGUCUUGUUCAACCAAGGGGAAUGUGAUGUGCAGUGUAUGUGUAGGCUCUUUGAAUUUCGAGGCAUCUUGUGUAGCCACAUCAUUUCCGUGCUUGCUCUCAUGGAGAUCACAGAUGUACCUUCUAGGUAUAUAUUGCAGCGAUGGAGAAAGGAUAUUAAGCGCAAACACACAUUUAUUAGAUGCUCCUAUGAUGAUAUGAUUGAUACACAAGUUGUGCAGCGUUAUGAUAAUUUGUGCAAGCGUUCCCACGAACUGGCAGAGAAUGGUGCAGAGUCUGAUGCAUUGCAUGACUUGGUGAUGGAUGGCCUUAAUGAAUUACAAAGUAAGAUUGACGCGUACUGUGCUAGUGUAGGUUGUCCUCCUUCAAAGAGAAAGGAAUCGAAAGUGGAUCAAGUGGUCAAAAAAUUGAGAGCAAAGAAGCAGCAGGUACCAACAAAUACAAAUGAAAUGCCAAGUCAAUAG
rnacentral:rRNA from 1 species